rnacentral:rRNA from 1 species
GAUGAACGCUGGCGGCGUGCCUAACACAUGCAAGUCGAACGGAAAGGCCCUGAUCUUGUGGGUUGCUCGAGUGGCGAACGUGUGAGUAUCACGUGAGUAACCUGCCCUUGACUUUGGGGUAACUUCAGGAAACUGGGGCUAAUAUCGGAUAUGAGCUCCUGCUGCAUGGUGGGGGUUGGUAAGUUUCGGCGGUUGGGGCUGGACUCGCGGCUUAUCAGCUUGUUGGUGGGGUAGUGGCUUACCAAGGUUUUGACGGGUAGCCGGCCUGAGCGGGUGACCGGCCACAUUGGGACUGAGAUAAGGCCCAGACUCCUACUGUAGGCAGCAGUGGGAAAUAUUGCACAAUGGGCGGAAGGCGGAUGCAGCAGCGCCGCGUGCGGGAUAACGGCCUUCGGGUUGUAAACCGCUUGCGCCUGUGACGAAGCGUGAGUGACGGUUAUGGGUAAAGAAGCCCCGGCUAAAUACGUG